UACCAGCACCCCGAGUGGUCGGGACGUUUUAUUGGGCCUAAAGCAUCCGUAGCCGGUUCUACAAGUCUUCCGUUAAAUCCACCUGCUUAACAGAUGGGCUGCGGAAGAUACUAUAGAGCUAGGAGGCGGGAGAGGCAAGCGGUACUCGAUGGGUAGGGGUAAAAUCCGUUGACUCAUGAAGACCACCAGUGGCGAAGGCGGCUUGCCAGAACGCGCUCGACGGUGAGGGAUGAAAGCUGGGGGAGCAAACCGG
rnacentral:rRNA from 1 species